rnacentral:rRNA from 1 species
AUGUCCCUGGUUUUUGAUCACUUGAUCGGCUGCGGGUGCGUGGAGUCGGGGGCACAGAGGAAGAGGGCGGCGGAGCGCAGCGCACCAGGCCACGCGCGCGCGUCUGCUGUCGACGGCGUGCAGCGCUGGUCGUGUGCAUGCGCGCCCACGCACCCUUGUGCCUUGUGGACGCUGUGGUGCGCCAUGCUAGUCGCCCGCUCGCUGGUGCGGCCCGAGUCGCCCGACUGGGACGGGACUCUGUCACCAUUCGGCGGUGAUCUGCUGUGCCAUCUCCAUCCCAACUUUGCUCGUCGCGGUCCCAAUGCAAGGUUCCAAGUCUUGCUUUGCUGCUCCCACGUGCUGACCGACUGA